rnacentral:rRNA from 1 species
UACGGAGGAUCCGAGCGUUAUCCGGAUUUAUUGGGUUUAAAGGGUGCGCAGGCGGAAGAUUAAGUCGGUGGUGAAAUUUUGCAGCUCAACUGUAAAAGUGCCAUUGAUACUGGUUUUCUUGAGUGUGGAUGAAGUAGGCGGAAUUUGUGGUGUAGCGGUGAAAUGCAUAGAUAUCACGAGGAACUCCGAUUGCGCAGGCAGCUUACUAAACCAUAACUGACACUCAGGCACGAAGGCGUGGGGAUCAAACAGGAUUAGAUA